CCGGCCCGGAUUGUUCAAAGAGACCAAAUAAUCCUCUUCGUCUCUUCAUUACUCCUCUGUGAUAUCGGGCUUCCCAUAUUCAAGAGUCAUAAAGCUUCAUUAUUAACUGCAACAAUCGAUGGUCAUGCAACUGUUACGAUUCCCUCAACCUCAACUUUAUAUAUACCUCUAUUCGGAAACUCUUGGUCUCACCUAAUUCACCAUAACCAAAUAUUCACAGCAGCAUAUGGCUCUAGUUGGCUACCACUGCCAGAACGGAGCAAUCAACCGGCAUGGCUUUUUUCUUCGGCUAUUCAAUUGAGCAAAGAGAUUUGGGUUUCAUUUCUUGGGGAGAUUUUGAUGCUGAUUGCGAUAACUUGAUGAUUCGUCUUUAGGCCUAAGGAUUGUUUGGAGUAAGCGUUCAAUGCAGUAUCUUCCUUCUCUUAUCUCUAUUAAUCUGAUUACAUAGCAUUCUAGAUCUUUUUCUUUGUUUGUGAUGACUUUUAGGGAUUCCUUGUGAAGAACUCUGAUAAUAAUAAGCUUUAUCGGCCGGUGACGCUGUAUUUGAGGUCAUGCAAUGUUGGUGAGAUUACAAGUUUGGAUCAGACAAGGUCAUAAUUGAUGGGCUACAGAUAUUCAAAUGGUCCGAUUCAUUUUUUUAAGUUCAACCACAAGAAAACAUUCCACAAAUUGUUAUCACGGACUAUACUGCAUGGAGCAAUCGUUUGUGUAGGAGACAGCCUGAACUCUUCUUCCAUCUAUAGUUUCUGACUUUAUAUUACAAAAUUUACAUUUUCUUUUCCUUGACACAGAAAGUUUAAGAAUUCAAGGUUAACAUCAAUGCUUUAUAGUUGCAACUUGAUGGACUAUGUGUGAUGGUAAUUCUUGGCCCCAUCAUCCUGUCAUGAUCUAGGUCUUACUUGGAAACAACAGUCUUUGCGAUGUAGAAAACCAUGAGCUUCAUAGGCUGGUUUAUCUUCUUGUGAGGCCUGGACUUGACCAUCGUAAGAAGGCUGGCGCCAUGAAUUCGUUGAUACAAGUCUCGGGGGUUCUAUCAAUUGUGCCUUAUCUUUUGAAUGUCGGUUGUGAUCACUACAUCUACAAUAGCAAAACUCUAAGAGAAGCAAUGUGUUUUGUGGUAACUUCUAAGUCGGGAAAGGACAUUUGUUAUGUUCACCACUACCCUCAAAGAGACGACAGAUACAUUAAUGGCAACGUUGUAUUCUUCGGUGUAAGUACACAAUACUUCUAUCACCAAAAAGAUAGAAGUAUUAUAGUUCUAUACAACCUUCAGCUUAAUUAACUGCAAUGGAAUCACUACAUCUGUCUGCUGUGAUCACUACAUCUACUUCUAUCCCGACAAGAUGUAUCUGGAUAGAUGGCAAUAGUCCACAUCCUUUUUUUGGUCAAAAUGUUAAAUAUUAUAGUUCACAUCUUCACAAUGAGUUUUGUAAUUGUUCAAUGUGACAAAUGUAUCGCAUAUAUCAUGUAUAUGCAUGUUACAGACACAAGUUGAUGACUGAUUUAUUUGCUGAUA